rnacentral:rRNA from 1 species
CCUACGGGUGGCAGCAGUGAGGAAUAUUGGUCAAUGGGCGCGAGCCUGAACCAGCCAAGUCGCGUGAGGGAGGACGGCCCUACGGGUUGUAAACCUCUUUUGCCGGGGAGCAACGGGCGCCACGUGUGGCGUCACUGAGAGUACCCGGAGAAAAAGCAUCGGCUAACUCCGUGCCAGCAGCCGCGGUAAUACGGAGGAUGCGAGCGUUAUCCGGAUUUAUUGGGUUUAAAGGGUGCGUAGGCGGAUCGUUAAGUCAGUGGUCAAAUUGAGGGGCUCAACCCCUUCCCGCCAUUGAAACUGGCGUUCUUGAGUGGAAGAGAAGUAUGCGGAAUGCGUGGUGUAGCGGUGAAAUGCGUAGAUAUUAGGAGGAACACCGGUGGUGAAGGCGGCCUGCUGGACUGUGACUGACGUUGAGGCCCGAAGGCGUGGGGAGCAAACAGGAUUAGAUACCCCUGUAGUC